rnacentral:tRNA from 1 species
GUUGCGUAAAGUGAAGCGUAUUUGGUUUGGGUCCAAAAUGUUGAAGGUUCAAUUCCUUUCG